ACUUGUCUUGGUGGGCAGCUUCGGAGAUCUUCUCUGAGGAAAGUCCUCGGGUGUUUGCAGUAAUGCAGGCUUAGGUGCUGGUUUUACCAAUUUACCAUAUAUAUAGUAAUGCUGCCGGGGCAUUGGUCUGUCCUAACAGAAUGAGGCUUACUCCAAGACAAG
rnacentral:RNase_MRP_RNA from 2 species